AUCUGGAUAUCAAGGUCUGGCUUAAGUCAAAUUGGCAAGGUCGGAAAUAUCUUCACUAAAAAGUUUUUUUGUAAAAACGAAGGAGUCAGCAAAAAGCAAAUUUGCUUCGAAUUAAGUGCACUUACAAUUUGAUAAUCCAACAACACCGAAAAGAAACAUUUUUUCACACAGAUUUGUUAACAUGAAUAGUAGGCGAACGAAUAAUAUAAUUGCUCGCUUUAAAAUAAAUACGACCUUGGACACACUUCUUAUUUUCAAUGAAGAUUCAUCGAGGUACUCCGCAAAUAUUUGUAUGCCGACCAUCCCAACUCAAAAAUUAAGAGAAAUCGUUUCUACUAAUCAAUUUCUAAUAUUACCGCGAUUGUCAUCACAAGAUAUGCUAGAAAUGUGUUGAAGUAUCUCCUAUCACAGUGGUAAUGUUCGCAGUACUGAGAAGGGGGCCAACGAAAUACUUUGUUAUUGUUAUAUUGUUAGUGGAACAAUACACAAACACCUGUAGCGAGAGGACACUUGGUUUUUACUAUUGAUUCUUUAUUUGAUUUGAGCAGCCUUAAUGCCGCUUCCAACAUCCAGUUGUUUCUGAUUCUUACCCUUAGUUACCUCCUUAGGUUCUAAGUAAGCCUAGGUCUCGUAGCUGCGCUGCCCACAGUUGGACGGCAGAGAGACGGUUAUGUAUAUCUUAUAUGUAUUAUAUAUAUUUAAUUAUGCUCUCUUUAGCUGGAGAGCGAGGGUAUAUGGAUGUACUUAAGUUCGUUUGUGCGGCCUGCGUAUGUAACAGAAUGCUGACACUUGCACUUUCUUUGAACGCGCCGAUCGACUCAUGUUUCGGCCACUUGGGUUUUUGACCCGGCCGUUGUUUAUGUAAACACUGCAACAAAGUGUUACAGUGUGUUUGUUUUAAGUACUCUUGAUACAGUAGUUAUUUAAUAUAUGAGUAAGUAAAAUCUCCCUCCUUUUAAAAA